GAGAGGUUGGAGGCUCUGCUAAACAAAAGUGGGUUGUAUUUUUUAUUGCAUAGAUUAUAGAAAUCUUUAAAAUCAGAUCAUGAUAGUUUGAUUUCUUUUGUGUUAAUUCAUAUCUGAUUAUAGAAUUUCAGUCCACUUCCUGCUAAAUUAACCUAUAAAGACAUCGUGCGUGAUCAGAAUGACCCUUCCCAUGCUGUUACUAUUUAUACCAAACAAUUUACCUUGAGGAUGGAUUUCCCUUUGUUUCAUAGGCUUAUAGUUCCAAAUAAUCCCCUUCCCUUUAAAGGAAAACAGAUACAUUUAGAACAAAGGAGGGCUGUGAGCUUCAGCUGCCUGUUUAUUAUGCACUGUGCUGUGUCUCAAGUUCUCAUCAUAAUUAAAAGAUAUAUUCUUAAACUUCAAAGCAGUGCUAUCUCAAGAGAGAGAGCUUCAGUCAGUUGGAAAACGGGUUUUGGUGGAAGAACGGAGCACACCCUGUCCAUUGCCAUCGGAGCAUAUUUAUCAACUAGUGGACUUCAGAUAUUAAACAAAAAAUAAUAA
rnacentral:lncRNA from 1 species